UUAGAGCACUUCCUGGUGAACAGUGUUGAUGAGUGAAUGUGCGGAUGACAAAGAGACUUUUCUCUCUUUUCUUCUGAGCCGCCUCUCAGAAGCCUCUGUGUGUGCACGAUGUGGCUGAUCUGGGAUAAUCGUGCUGUGCGCAGUGCUUAAGGAGAACAUUGCCCUAAAAUGGAGGGCUAAGGAAUAGCCUAAAAAACCUAAAAGGCUCGGGAAGAGCCAAAGAGAACACCGAUGGGCUCUGGGAAGCCCCAGUGAUGCUAGUGAAAACAGCGUGGCUUUUAGGCACCUCCUCAGAGCAGCAGCAAUGUCUCGCUCCAGCCUAUGGGACAAUGGGGACUCUUAAUUACCGCCUUGAAUUACCACAAGUGUUGCAAAAGCAGAAGGGACUAGGGAGCAUGCAGAGCAGGUUAUGGACUAUAUGUCAAGUUUAAACAAGCAACAAGCCCCUCUGCAAACAGAAACAGGUUUAGCCCUAAGUAAUAGACGAAGGUAGCUGUGAGUAACGUGAAGCGAAGCGGUGACGUCAGUCACCCCGAAAGCCUCGGAGAAGCGGACUGAAAAUCUGGUACCCUCGCGGCCUCGGCAGUCUUUUUGGUUUGUUUGGCAGGGUAGCCCACCGAAGGGGGACAUCUCGAAGAGAAGCAGCAAGACCUGGGGAUCCGGUGGUUCAUUUUGGUCGUCGCCUGUGAGGCCAGCAUGCAAGAGUAAGAGGAAGCUAGGAGCAGUCUCAAAAAGGUAAUAGGUCUGAAAGGGAGACAGGCAAAUCGAGGGCUGUCGUUCCUCCACGUAGUUAAAGACCGAGAGAGUUGUCGGUUAAGCGCAUGCAUACGAGGGUUUGCGAACAGUAACAAUAACACUGAAGCGGAGUAAAAAUAAGGUUUCGUGGAAGAUGGCGUUAGGAAGGUAUUAGGCGACGUGCCCGCCUGCCUAAUAACCUAGCCCUAAUUGCUGUGUGUAACGUUUCCAGACCGUUUACCCUGCAACGUAUGGUGCAAAGUGCCGUAUUAAGACCUUUCCCUUAAGGAAAAGAAGAAGAAAAAAAGAAAAACAAGGGGGAAAAAGAAAACAGGGUAAAGAGAAAAAGAUCAUGCAUAAGCCUAAGCGUUUCACUGGAAGUAAAACGCGAGUUUAUCGCUUCCUUACAGAGAUGGAACCAAGGACAGCAAAUGCUGACGAAGAGAAGAGACGGACGAGCGUUUGCUUGCGGUUAAUACCGAAGGGACGGGAUGAAACAAGGAAGCCAGAAUGCAGCAGCCCCUCGAUAUCACCAGGAACUGCUACAGGAGGAGGCGUUCUGGCACGGGUAACUAGGAUUAAUUGCCACGGCUGAAGUUGAAGAGACCAAGAAACGUAAGCCGCGAAGGGGCACAUCUUGAAGAGAGGGGGCUAGACCUAGCGAUGCAGUUGUUCGUUUUGGUCGUCGCCUGUGAGGCCAGCAUGCAAGAGGAAGAGGAAGCUAGGAGCAGUCUCAAAAAGAGAUGGAACCAAGGACAGCAAAUGCUGACGAAGAGAAGAGACGGACGAGCGUUUGCUUGCGGUUAAUACCGAAGGGACGGGAUGAAACAAGGAAGCCAGAAUGCAGCAGCCCCUCGAUAUCACCAGGAACUGCUACAGGAGGAGGCGUUCUGGCACGGGUAACUAGGAUUAAUUGCCACGGCUGAAGUUGAAGAGACCAAGAAACGUAAGCCGCGAAGGGGCACAUCUUGAAGAGAGGGGGCUAGACCUAGCGAUGCAGUUGUUCGUUUUGGUCGUCGCCUGUGAGGCCAGCAUGCAAGAGGAAGAGGAAGCUAGGAGCAGUCUCAAAAAGAGGUGGAACCAAGGACAGCAAAUGCUGACGAGGAGAAGAGACGGACGAGCGUUUGCUUGCGGUUAAUACCGAAGGGACGGGAUGAAACAAGGAAGCCAGAAUGCAGCAGCCCCUCGAUAUCACCAGGAACUGCUACAGGAGGAGGCGUUCUGGCACGGGUAACUAGGAUUAAUUGCCACGGCUGAAGUUGAAGAGACCAAGAAACGUAAGCCGCGAAGGGGCACAUCUUGAAGAGAGGGGGCUAGACCUAGCGAUGCAGUUGUUCGUUUUGGUCGUCGCCUGUGAGGCCAGCAUGCAAGAGGAAGAGGAAGCUAGGAGCAGUCUCAAAAAGAGAUGGAACCAAGGACAGCAAAUGCUGACGAGGAGAAGAGACGGACGAGCGUUUGCUUGCGGUUAAUACCGAAGGGACGGGAUGAAACAAGGAAGCCAGAAUGCAGCAGCCCCUCGAUAUCACCAGGAACUGCUACAGGAGGAGGCGUUCUGGCACGGGUAACUAGGAUUAAUUGCCACGGCUGAAGUUGAAGAGACCAAGAAACGUAAGCCGCGAAGGGGCACAUCUUGAAGAGAGGGGGCUAGACCUAGCGAUGCAGUUGUUCGUUUUGGUCGUCGCCUGUGAGGCCAGCAUGCAAGAGGAAGAGGAAGCUAGGAGCAGUCUCAAAAAGAGAUGGAACCAAGGACAGCAAAUGCUGACGAGGAGAAGAGACGGACGAGCGUUUGCUUGCGGUUAAUACCGAAGGGACGGGAUGAAACAAGGAAGCCAGAAUGCAGCAGCCCCUCGAUAUCACCAGGAACUGCUACAGGAGGAGGCGUUCUGGCACGGGUAACUAGGAUUAAUUGCCACGGCUGAAGUUGAAGAGACCAAGAAACGUAAGCCGCGAAGGGGCACAUCUUGAAGAGAGGGGGCUAGACCUAGCGAUGCAGUUGUUCGUUUUGGUCGUCGCCUGUGAGGCCAGCAUGCAAGAGGAAGAGGAAGCUAGGAGCAGUCUCAAAAAGAGAUGGAACCAAGGACAGCAAAUGCUGACGAGGAGAAGAGACGGACGAGCGUUUGCUUGCGGUUAAUACCGAAGGGACGGGAUGAAACAAGGAAGCCAGAAUGCAGCAGCCCCUCGAUAUCACCAGGAACUGCUACAGGAGGAGGCGUUCUGGCACGGGUAACUAGGAUUAAUUGCCACGGCUGAAGUUGAAGAGACCAAGAAACGUAAGCCGCGAAGGGGCACAUCUUGAAGAGAGGGGGCUAGACCUAGCGAUGCAGUUGUUCGUUUUGGUCGUCGCCUGUGAGGCCAGCAUGCAAGAGGAAGAGGAAGCUAGGAGCAGUCUCAAAAAGAGAUGGAACCAAGGACAGCAAAUGCUGACGAGGAGAAGAGACGGACGAGCGUUUGCUUGCGGUUAAUACCGAAGGGACGGGAUGAAACAAGGAAGCCAGAAUGCAGCAGCCCCUCGAUAUCACCAGGAACUGCUACAGGAGGAGGCGUUCUGGCACGGGUAACUAGGAUUAAUUGCCACGGCUGAAGUUGAAGAGACCAAGAAACGUAAGCCGCGAAGGGGCACAUCUUGAAGAGAGGGGGCUAGACCUAGCGAUGCAGUUGUUCGUUUUGGUCGUCGCCUGUGAGGCCAGCAUGCAAGAGGAAGAGGAAGCUAGGAGCAGUCUCAAAAAGAGAUGGAACCAAGGACAGCAAAUGCUGACGAGGAGAAGAGACGGACGAGCGUUUGCUUGCGGUUAAUACCGAAGGGACGGGAUGAAACAAGGAAGCCAGAAUGCAGCAGCCCCUCGAUAUCACCAGGAACUGCUACAGGAGGAGGCGUUCUGGCACGGGUAACUAGGAUUAAUUGCCACGGCUGAAGUUGAAGAGACCAAGAAACGUAAGCCGCGAAGGGGCACAUCUUGAAGAGAGGGGGCUAGACCUAGCGAUGCAGUUGUUCGUUUUGGUCGUCGCCUGUGAGGCCAGCAUGCAAGAGGAAGAGGAAGCUAGGAGCAGUCUCAAAAAGAGAUGGAACCAAGGACAGCAAAUGCUGACGAAGAGAAGAGACGGACGAGCGUUUGCUUGCGGUUAAUACCGAAGGGACGGGAUGAAACAAGGAAGCCAGAAGGCAGCAGCCCCUCGAUAUCACCAGGAACUGCUACAGGAGGAGGCGUUCUGGCACGGGUAACUAGGAUUAAUUGCCACGGCUGAAGUUGAAGAGACCAAGAAACGUAAGCCGCGAAGGGGCACAUCUUGAAGAGAGGGGGCUAGACCUAGCGAUGCAGUUGUUCGUUUUGGUCGUCGCCUGUGAGGCCAGCAUGCAAGAGGAAGAGGAAGCUAGGAGCAGUCUCAAAAAGAGAUGGAACCAAGGACAGCAAAUGCUGACGAGGAGAAGAGACGGACGAGCGUUUGCUUGCGGUUAAUACCGAAGGGACGGGAUGAAACAAGGAAGCCAGAAUGCAGCAGCCCCUCGAUAUCACCAGGAACUGCUACAGGAGGAGGCGUUCUGGCACGGGUAACUAGGAUUAAUUGCCACGGCUGAAGUUGAAGAGACCAAGAAACGUAAGCCGCGAAGGGGCACAUCUUGAAGAGAGGGGGCUAGACCUAGCGAUGCAGUUGUUCGUUUUGGUCGUCGCCUGUGAGGCCAGCAUGCAAGAGGAAGAGGAAGCUAGGAGCAGUCUCAAAAAGAGAUGGAACCAAGGACAGCAAAUGCUGACGAAGAGAAGAGACGGACGAGCGUUUGCUUGCGGUUAAUACCGAAGGGACGGGAUGAAACAAGGAAGCCAGAAGGCAGCAGCCCCUCGAUAUCACCAGGAACUGCUACAGGAGGAGGCGUUCUGGCACGGGUAACUAGGAUUAAUUGCCACGGCUGAAGUUGAAGAGACCAAGAAACGUAAGCCGCGAAGGGGCACAUCUUGAAGAGAGGGGGCUAGACCUAGCGAUGCAGUUGUUCGUUUUGGUCGUCGCCUGUGAGGCCAGCAUGCAAGAGGAAGAGGAAGCUAGGAGCAGUCUCAAAAAGAGAUGGAACCAAGGACAGCAAAUGCUGACGAGGAGAAGAGACGGACGAGCGUUUGCUUGCGGUUAAUACCGAAGGGACGGGAUGAAACAAGGAAGCCAGAAUGCAGCAGCCCCUCGAUAUCACCAGGAACUGCUACAGGAGGAGGCGUUCUGGCACGGGUAACUAGGAUUAAUUGCCACGGCUGAAGUUGAAGAGACCAAGAAACGUAAGCCGCGAAGGGGCACAUCUUGAAGAGAGGGGGCUAGACCUAGCGAUGCAGUUGUUCGUUUUGGUCGUCGCCUGUGAGGCCAGCAUGCAAGAGGAAGAGGAAGCUAGGAGCAGUCUCAAAAAGAGAUGGAACCAAGGACAGCAAAUGCUGACGAAGAGAAGAGACGGACGAGCGUUUGCUUGCGGUUAAUACCGAAGGGACGGGAUGAAACAAGGAAGCCAGAAUGCAGCAGCCCCUCGAUAUCACCAGGAACUGCUACAGGAGGAGGCGUUCUGGCACAGGUAACUAGGAUUAAUUGCCACGGCUGAAGUUGAAGAGACCAAGAAACGUAAGCCGCGAAGGGGCACAUCUCGAAGAGAAGCAGCAAGACCUGGGGAUCCGGUGGUUCAUUUUGGUCGUCGCCUGUGAGGCCAGCAUGCAAGAGUAAGAGGAAGCUAGGAGCAGUCUCAAAAAGAGAUGGAACCAAGGACAGCAAAUGCUGACGAGGAGAAGAGACGGACGAGCGUUUGCUUGCGGUUAAUACCGAAGGGACGGGAUGAAACAAGGAAGCCAGAAUGCAGCAGCCCCUCGAUAUCACCAGGAACUGCUACAGGAGGAGGCGUUCUGGCACAGGUAACUAGGGUAAGUAUGGCUAAUGACCGUUAGCAGUUAUUUUGGCCUCCCCGAGGCAGCGCUGAGGACUGAGUAACCUGAGGGGCUCUGGCCUGGGUUGGGGCAGAAGUGCAGGCAGGCGGGAUCAGGCAUUUUCCUCUCAGCUCUCCGAGCUGAAUCCUAGCCCUGAAGGAAAAAGCACUGGGGGGAGGCUACUCGGACACCUGCCAUGUCGAGGGCAGGGGCAGGAGCUGACCCUUCCCCGACGGACGUACGUACGGACAGACGCUGGUGCGGCGGUGACUCUUUGGAUAUCGUAGGUAAGGGGAGGCACGCUGGUGCCGAGCUCCAGGGCGGUUUGCCUGAACACGAUGCCUGAGGCAGGAGGUUAUGCAUUGUGUCCGGGGCUGGGAGCUGGUCCCCGAGUCCCAUGUACUUGGGAGUGCCUGCACUUGCCAGGGAGCCCGGUGCUGUUCCCAGAGCUGCGGGGAAUUUCCCUUGCGUUGCCUGGACCCUCGGGGCUCUUGGGGGUGUUUCCCCUCAUCGCGAGGGCUGCCAGAGCCCCUCCAGGGCUGCGUGAGGUCCCCGAACCGCUCCCGGAUUUGCUUUUGGCACUCCGCAGUGUCGCUCGUGUGCCUGGGGCAGCCUGCAGGCGCCAUCCUGUCAGCCGCGUUGAGCCCUGCGGCGUGCCUGGUGACCCCUCUGGUGUGCGCCAAGGCCCUUCCUCUGUAUUUUGGUCUGCCCCAGAGCCCUGCACUUGCCCUCUGAUGCCCUCAGGACCCCUCAGUUCACAUUCUGGGUUGCCCCCGAGCCCUCUGCGUGCCUUUCGGUGCGCCCCGUGGCCCCGUGUGUGUUUUGCGGCACGCCGCAGAGGUCUCUGUUUAGCUUUUUCUCCUGUCCUGGAGUUUUCUGGGUGCUUCUGGGUGUGCCCCAGGGCCCUCCUUUUGGUGCCCCCCGAGUCACUCUGUUUGCUCUAUCGUUGUUCUUUUUUUUUUUUUUUUUUUUCUUGACUUGUGUUGCACCCAGAGCUCUCGAUUUGUUCUUUUGUGCUCCGCAUACUCCCCUUUCCGCACUCUACACCCCAGGCAGGGCUCUCCCUUCAGCUCUCAGCAAGCUGCUGUCAGGAGAGUGGGGGUGCCUCUGCUGCCCUGGCAGCCCCAGCUGUCCCUGAGGGGGCUGAUGGCCAGGCCCCCUGCCCAGUUCCUGCAGGCCCACAGCUGCGGGCCCUGGGGCUGGGAUGAAUGCCAGGGGGAGCUGGGUGGCAGGACAGGCCCCAGGUGGGGCUGAUGGCAAGGGCAGGCCCACAUUUGGGGGCUGGGGCUGCAGUUGG